rnacentral:rRNA from 1 species
CAGCCGCCGCGGUAAUACGAAGGGUGCAAGCGUUACUCGGAAUUACUGGGCGUAAAGCGUGCGUAGGUGGUGGUUUAAGUCCGUUGUGAAAGCCCUGGGCUCAACCUGGGAAUUGCAGUGGAUACUGGGUCACUAGAGUGUGGUAGAGGAUAGUGGAAUUUCCGGUGUAGCAGUGAAAUGCGUAGAGAUCGGAAGGAACAUCUGUGGCGAAGGCGACUAUCUGGGCCAAUACUGACGCUGAGGUACGAAAGCAUGGGGAGCAAACAGGAUUAGAUACCCCCGUAGUCCCUGUCUCUUAUAC